rnacentral:rRNA from 1 species
GACGAACGCUGGCGGCGUGCUUAACACAUGCAAGUCGAACGGAAAGGCCCUGCUUUUGUGGGGUGCUCGAGUGGCGAACGGGUGAGUAACACGUGAGUAACCUGCCCCUGACUUUGGGAUAACUUCAGGAAACUGGGGCUAAUACCGGAUAGGAGCUCCUGCUGCAUGGUGGGGGUUGGAUAGUUUCGGCGGUUGGGGAUGGACGCGCGGCCUAUCAGCUUGUUGGUGGGGUAGUGGCUUACCAAGGCUUUGCCGGGUAGCCGGCCUGAGAGGGUGACCGGCCAGAUUGGGACGGAGAUACGGCCCAGACUCCUACGGGAGGCAGGAGGGGGAAGAUUGCACAGUGGGCUGAAGCCUGAUGCAGCAACGCCGCGUGCGGGAUGACAGCCAUCGGGUUGUAAACCACUGUCGCCUGUGACGAAGCGUGAGUGACGGUAAUGGGUAAAGAAGCUCCGGCUAACUACGUG